rnacentral:rRNA from 1 species
UACAGAGGGUGCUAGCGUUGUUCGGAAUCAUUGGGCGUAAAGGGCGUGUAGGCGGUUUGUUAAGUCAUGUGUGAAAUCCCUCGGCUCAACCGGGGAACGACGCAUGAAACUGGCAAGCUAGAGUACCAAAGAGGGGGGUGGAAUUCCCGGUGUAGCGGUGAAAUGCGUAGAUAUCAGGAAGAACACCGGUGGCGAAGGCGGCUCGCUGGGCCAGUUCUGACACUCAUCCGCGAAAGCGUGGGGAGCAAACAGG